rnacentral:rRNA from 1 species
UACGUAGGGGGCAAGCGUUAUCCGGAUUUACUGGGUGUAAAGGGAGCGUAGGUGGCUCGAUAAGUCAGAAGUGAAAGCCCAGAGCUCAACUCUGGGACUGCUUUUGAAACUAUCGAGCUAGAGUGCAGGAGAGGUAAGUGGAAUUCCUAGUGUAGCGGUGAAAUGCGUAGAUAUUAGGAGGAACACCAGUGGCGAAGGCGGCUUACUGGACUGUAACUGACACUGAGGCUCGAAAGCGUGGGGAGCAAAC